UACGUAGGGUGCAAGCGUUGUCCGGAAUUAUUGGGCGUAAAGAGCUCGUAGGCGGUUUGUUGCGUCGGCUGUGAAAUCCCGAGGCUCAACCUCGGGUCUGCAGUCGAUACGAGCAAACUAGAGUGUUGCAGGGGAGACUGGAAUUCCUGGUGAUAGCGGUGAAAUGCGCAGAUAUCAGGAGGAACACCGGUGGCGAAGGCGGGUCUCUGGGCAACAACUGACGC
rnacentral:rRNA from 1 species